rnacentral:rRNA from 1 species
GGGUUGUGAGGUUAAGCGACUAAGCGUACACGGUGGAUGCCCUGGCAGUCAGAGGCGAUGAAGGACGUGCUAAUCUGCGAUAAGCGUCGGUAAGGUGAUAUGAACCGUUAUAACCGGCGAUUUCCGAAUGGGGAAACCCAGUGUGUUUCGACACACUAUCAUUAACUGAAUCCAUAGGUUAAUGAGGCGAACCGGGGGAACUGAAACAUCUAAGUACCCCGAGGAAAAGAAAUCAACCGAGAUUCCCCCAGUAGCGGCGAGCGAACGGGGAGCAGCCCAGAGCCUGAAUCAGUAUGUGUGUUAGUGGAAGCGUCUGGAAAGGCGCGCGAUACAGGGUGACAGCCCCGUACACAAAAAUGCACAUGCUGUGAGCUCGAUGAGUAGGGCGGGACACGUGGUAUCCUGUCUGAAUAUGGGGGGACCAUCCUCCAAGGCUAAAUACUCCUGACUGACCGAUAGUGAACCAGUACCGUGAGGGAAAGGCGAAAAGAACCCCGGCGAGGGGAGUGAAAAAGAACCUGAAACCGUGUACGUACAAGCAGUGGGAGCACGCUUAGGCGUGUGACUGCGUACCUUUUGUAUAAUGGGUCAGCGACUUAUAUUCUGUAGCAAGGUUAACCGAAUAGGGGAGCCGAAGGGAAACCGAGUCUUAACUGGGCGUUAAGUUGCAGGGUAUAGACCCGAAACCCGGUGAUCUAGCCAUGGGCAGGUUGAAGGUUGGGUAACACUAACUGGAGGACCGAACCGACUAAUGUUGAAAAAUUAGCGGAUGACUUGUGGCUGGGGGUGAAAGGCCAAUCAAACCGGGAGAUAGCUGGUUCUCCCCGAAAGCUAUUUAGGUAGCGCCUCGUGAAUUCAUCUCCGGGGGUAGAGCACUGUUUCGGCAAGGGGGUCAUCCCGACUUACCAACCCGAUGCAAACUGCGAAUACCGGAGAAUGUUAUCACGGGAGACACACGGCGGGUGCUAACGUCCGUCGUGAAGAGGGAAACAACCCAGACCGCCAGCUAAGGUCCCAAAGUCAUGGUUAAGUGGGAAACGAUGUGGGAAGGCCCAGACAGCCAGGAUGUUGGCUUAGAAGCAGCCAUCAUUUAAAGAAAGCGUAAUAGCUCACUGGUCGAGUCGGCCUGCGCGGAAGAUGUAACGGGGCUAAACCAUGCACCGAAGCUGCGGCAGCGACGCUGAUGCGUUGUUGGGUAGGGGAGCGUUCUGUAAGCCUGCGAAGGUGUGCUGUGAGGCAUGCUGGAGGUAUCAGAAGUGCGAAUGCUGACAUAAGUAACGAUAAAGCGGGUGAAAAGCCCGCUCGCCGGAAGACCAAGGGUUCCUGUCCAACGUUAAUCGGGGCAGGGUGAGUCGACCCCUAAGGCGAGGCCGAAAGGCGUAGUCGAUGGGAAACAGGUUAAUAUUCCUGUACUUGGUGUUACUGCGAAGGGGGGACGGAGAAGGCUAUGUUGGCCGGGCGACGGUUGUCCCGGUU